UCGAACGCUUCUUUUUCAUCGAACUUCGGUUCACCGAAAAAGAAGAGUGGCGAACGGGUGAGUAACACGUGGGUAACCUACCCAUCAGCGGGGGAUAACACUUGGAAACAGGUGCUAAUACCGCAUAAUCUUUUUCUCCGCCUGGAGAGAAAGUGAAAGGCGCUUUUGCGUCACUGAUGGAUGGACCCGCGCUGCAUUAGCUAGUUGGUGAGGUAACGGCUCACCAAGGCCACGAUGCAUAGCCGACCUGAGAGGGUGAUCGGCCACACUGGGACUGAGACACGGCCCAGACUCCUACGGGAGGCAGCAGUAGGGAAUCUUCGGCAAUGGACGAAAGUCUGACCGAGCNNAACCCCCGCGUGAGUGAAGAANGGUUUUCGGAUCGUAAAACUCUGUUGUUUAGAGAAGAAUAAGGAUGAGAGUAAAAAGUUCAUCCCUUGACGGUAUCUAACCAGAAAGCCACGGCUAACUACGUGCCAGCAGCCCGCGGUAAUACGUAGGUGGCAAGCGUUGUCCGGAUUUAUUNGGGCGUAAAGCGAGCGCAGGCGGUUUCUUAAGUCUGAUGUGAAAGCCCCCNGGCUUAACCGGGGAGGGUCAUUGGAAACUGAGGAACUUGAGUGCAGAAGAGGAGAGUGGAAUUCCAUGUGUAGCGGUGAAAUGCGUAGAUAUAUGGAGGAACACCAGUGGCGAAGGCGACUCUCUGGUCUGUAACUGACGCUGAGGCUCGAAAGCGUGGGGAGCAAACAGGAUUAGAUACCCUGGUAGUCCACGCCGUAAACGAUGAGUGCUAAGUGUUGGAGGGUUUCCGCCCUUCAGUGCUGCAGCUAACGCAUUAAGCACUCCGCCUGGGGAGUACGGUCGCAAGACUGAAACUCAAAGGAAUUGACGGGGGCCCGCACAAGCNGGGGGAACAUGUGGUUUAAUUCGAAGCAACGCGAAGAACCUUACCAGGUCUUGACAUCCUUUGACCACUCUAGAAAUAGAGCUUUCCCUUCGGGGACAAAGUGAACAGGUGGGGCAUGGUUGCCCCCAGCUCGUGUCCGUGAAAUGUUGGGUUAAGUCCCGCAACGAGCGCAACCCNUUAUUGUUAGUGGCCAUCAUUUAGUUGGGCACCCUAGCGAGACUGCCGGUGACAAACCGGAGGAAGGUGGGGAUGACGUCAAAUCAUCAUGCCCCUUAUGACCUGGGCUACACACGUGCUACAAUGGGAGGUACAACGAGUCGCCAAGCCGCGAGGCUGAGCUAAUCUCUUAAAACCUCUCUCAGUUCGGAUUGUAGGCUGCAACUCGCCUAC
rnacentral:rRNA from 1 species